AUACGGAGGAUCCGAGCGUUAUCCGGAUUUAUUGGGUUUAAAGGGUGCGCAGGCGGCCAUUUAAGUCAGCGGUUAAAUCGUGGGGCUCAACCCCAUUCUGCCGUUGAUACCGGGUGGCUUGAUUGCGGUCGAGGUUGGCGGAAUUCGUUGUGUAGCGGUGAAAUGCAUAGAUAUGACGAAGAACACCGAUUGCGUAGGCAGCUGACCAGACCGCAAAUGACGCUCAUGCACGAAAGUGCGGGGAUCGAACAGGAUUAGAUACCCUGGUAGUCCGCACAGUAAACGAUGAAUACUUGUUUUCGGCGAUAUAAUGUCGGAGGCAAAGCGAAAGCGAUAAGUAUUCCACCUGGGGAGUACGCCGGCAACGGUGAAACUCAAAGGAAUUGACGGGG
rnacentral:rRNA from 1 species